AUGCUGUGUGUGUGUGUGUGUGUGUGUGUGUGUGUGUGUGUGUGUGUGUGUGUAUCACUCUUUCAUCGAUUACAGAUGGAUUUCAUUUCGCCACUCAUGCAUGCUUAGUAAUAACCGCACAACAUCAAAACAAAA